UUAAACACCAGUUCACAUACAAUCACUGAAGUUAGGCAAUUUGGGGCCUGAUUAGUACCUAGAUGGGUGACCACUUGAGAAAGCAAUGUGCUGUAA